rnacentral:rRNA from 1 species
GACAGAGGUGCCAAGCGUUAGGCGGAAUCACUGGGCUUAAAGCGUGUGUAGGCGGGUCGUUAAGUGUCUUGUGAAAUCCCCCGGCUCAACCGGGGAAUGGCUGGGCAUACUGGCGAUCUUGAGCAGUCUAGGGGCAGAUGGAACAAGUGGUGGAGCGGUGAAAUGCGUAGAUAUCACUUGGAACGCCAAAGGUGAAAACAGUCUGCUGGGGACUUGCUGACGCUGAGACACGAAAGCCAGGGGAGCGAACGGGA